UUUCAGCUUUUCUUAGAAGGCAAUUUUGGUGGUGAUGAAUUCCCCACAGCUUUGGUUUAUUAGGAAGGUAUUUAUCUAGCCUUUAUUUCUAAAGGACACUUUGCCAGGCAAUUCCUGGAUCUCCAUUUCUUUGGGAUCAUUUACUAGAAAUGGUGUCAUGUUUCCCUGAUUCUUCAUGAUCCCAGUAGCAUAAGUAUCUAUAAAAUUGGAGAAGGAGUCACCCCUUCCAGACUUUAUGGACUGACUUUGGCUGUGACCUGAUGAGAAUUUGAACAACUGCCUCUGGAUAUAAGCCAAGGGAGCUAUGUGUUAUAACAGAGCUGCCUUGCCAACCCUACCUCUGGAUUGUUAGGUAUAAAUUUAUAUUAUUUAAAAUAUAACUGGGGCACCUGGGU